rnacentral:lncRNA from 1 species
AGAGGCCAAGCCAGCCUAAAAAGUUUAUUACAGGUGUGUGAUCGGGCGGAUGUCACGUGAACAUCCAAGUGUGCCAGUAAGAAAAGACCCAAGAGAGCCUCUGCCCACCCACUCCUUGGCUCCUCACCUCCCCAGACUUACUCAUUACCCUAAGUUAACGUGUCCUGUUUCAGUUGGAGUCUUAGGAAAUCAAAUCAAAUCAAUCCCCAAUAGUGCAGACCUUUCUACCAGGCGCACCAGAGGAGUGAAGAGUGUCCCCACACACUCCUACUGGGUGUAGGACAUCAGAACCCACACUCAUGAUCCACGGUCCGGCUGUACAACCCCACCCACCCCUCUGUGUGCGGGGAGCAGCAGGCUCUCUGACCCACAUGGCACAGCUCAGUCAGGGAGCGGGCCAUCACGCAGUGGAGCACGUGGUGACUUCUUCGGCGAUCACAGCCAACACUUGGCUAAGAGCACUGAGCAGGAACUAGGGCAAAGAGGGGUGCUGAGUGCCGCAGAGGCUGUCCUGCCGCUGGG